rnacentral:rRNA from 1 species
AACGAACGCUGGCGGCAUGCCUAAUACAUGCAAGUCGAACGAGAUCUUCGGAUCUAGUGGCGCACGGGUGCGUAACGCGUAGGAAUCUGCCCUUGGGUUCGGAAUAACUUCUGGAAACGGAAGCUAAUACCGGAUGAUGACGUAAGUCCAAAGAUUUAUCGCACAAGGAUGAGCCCGCGUAGGAUUAGGUAGUUGGUGAGGUAAAGGCUCACCAAGCCGACGAUCCUUAGCUAGUCUGAGAGGAUGAUCAGCCACACUGGGACUGAGACACGGCCCAGACUCCUACGGGAGGCAGCAGUAGGGAAUAUUGGACGAUGGGCGAAAGCCUGAUCCAGCAAUGCCGCGUGAGUGAUGAAGGCCUUAGGGUUGUAAAGCUCUUUUACCCGGGAUGAUAGUGGCGGUACCGGGAGAAUAAGCUCGGGCUAACUGCGUG